rnacentral:rRNA from 1 species
GUGCCAGCAGCCGCGGUAAGACAGAGGUGGCGAGCGUUGUUCGGAUUUAUUGGGCGUAAAGCGAACGCAGGUGGUUUGGUAAGUCAGAGGUGAAAGACCACAGCUUAACUGUGGCACUGCCUUUGAUACUGCCUUUCUAGAGUGCAUGAGGGGGAAGCGGAAUUCCGAGUGUAGAGGUGAAAUUCGUAGAUAUUCGGAGGAACACCGGUGGCGAAGGCGGCUUCCUGGCAUGUAACUGACACUCAUGUUCGAAAGCGUGGGUAGCAAACAGGAUUAGAAACCCCGGUAGUCC